rnacentral:rRNA from 1 species
UACGAGGGGUCCAAGCGUUGUUCGGCAUCAUUGGGCGUAAAGCGCGCGCAGGCGGAUCAGCAAGUCAGGUGUGAAAUCUCGAGGCUCACCCUCGAAACUGCGCCUGAAACUGCUAGUCUAGAAUGUCGGAGGGGGUAGGGGAAUUUCACGUGUAGGAGUAAAAUGCGUAGAGAUGUGAAGGAACACCGGAGGCGAAGGCGCCUACCUGGACGACUAUUGACGCUGAGGCGCGAAAGCGUGGGGAGCAAACAGG